rnacentral:lncRNA from 1 species
UGCAAUCCAUGACCAUUUCUAUUAUCCAACCAUAAAAAGAGGAGAAACUAAAAAGAAAAAUAAUAAAAAAGGCCUCCUUUUCUUCUGCAGAAAAAAAGAAAACUUUUCAUCUUCUCAAGGAGGCGACACAUACCCUCUUCUUCACUGACCUCACAAACUUCCGCCAUUUCCUCUUCGCCUCGAUCUCCAUCUCACCGCGGACAACCACCUUGUUCUUCAUCCAAAACAACCCACCGUACUGGUCGUCCUCCGUCGUGUAUCUUUCUCUUCUGAUCCACACCCUCUUUCAACCUUUGAAUAAUGCCGUGAAACCUUAACACUUCCUCCAUUACCGGCGAAAUCCUCGAAUACUCUCCACUUCAACCCACCUCGCAACAACCAUCACCAACAUCCGCCGGAAAUCUCCACACAACGACCCUCCAUUUCAACUUCCGACGACCUCUCCAACAUCCGCCGACAACCUCCGCCAUCUCAACCGCCGGCAACGCUCCAACCACUUCCGGCGACGUCCACUCUAAGCGGCGCAAUCCCAAUCUAUAUUUACGUAAAUGUGGUUAUCUCUUCCUUUGUUUUCAAUUUUUUCUUUUUCUCAUUUUAAUAAAUAAAUUAUUAAUUGGUAUUAUAAUUUGAUUUGUUUUAAUACUGUAAGUUUAAUGAAGUAUCAUGAUAUAUAAAUUGGAUUUAUUUAUAACGUUGUUUUGUUUUAGGCUUAAUUAUAUGUUAAUGAGAUAUUGUUAGUAUUAUUUAGGGUUGGUUUUAUUAUGGUUGUAUUUAGUUUUAAAAAAUGGCUUUUAUUUUUAUUUUUAGGUUAAUAUAUUGGUGGAACAAAUUUUUCCAGGGAUUGCGUUACAGCUUUUCCUUAUUCUUUUUACUCCUAUUUUGGAUGAUCUGCCAUGUGUCCUAAGUUAAUUCCCAUGUGUAGCUGGAUAAAACAUAAUAAUGGAUGGUAGAAGUUUAAUAAUAAUGCUGAAGUAGUGCCAUUUUUUCUCGCCGAUUUUGCCGCAAGAUCAUUAGGCUAGGUAUGCUUCUCCGUUCAAAUUGAGAUUUGCUGUAUAAAUCCUAAUGUGUUGUUCAAAUUCACUUUAAAUUAUUCUUAUAUGUUAUUAUUAAUGUUUACAUGAUUAAGUUUCAUUUUCAUAAAUAUUUAUAUGAUGGGGUUUCACUUUUUAUAAA